rnacentral:rRNA from 1 species
UGGCGGACGGGUGAGUAACGCGUAGGAACCUGUCGAACAGUGGGGAUAACGCUGGGAAACCGGCGCUAAUACCGCAUGUGGUCGGGCAACCGAAGAAAGCAUUUAUGCGCUGUUUGAGGGGCCUGCGUCCGAUUAGCUUGUUGGUGGGGUAAAGGCCUACCAAGGCAUCGAUCGGUAGCUGGUCUGAGAGGAUGGUCAGCCACACUGGGACUGAGACACGGCCCAG